GAAUCCGGGGUUCGGCUCCGGAGAGGCAGCCUGAGAAACGGCUACCACAUCCACGGAAGGCAGCAGGUGCGCAAAUUACCCAAUUCUGACUCAGAGAGGUAGUGACAAGAAAUAACGGUUAGCAGCAAAAAAUUGCUUGCAUUCCGGAAUGAGAACAACCUAAACUCCUUAUCGACUAACAAGUGGAGGGCAAGCCUGGUGCCAGCAGCCGCGGUAAUACCAGCUCCACUAGCGUAUACUAAAGUUGUUGCUGUUAAAAAGCUCGUAGUUGGAUAUCAGCCCGCGCGGAAGACGCCGCUGCGUUUGCAGAGAGGCGUCGAAGCGGCUCGCCGCGCAGCGCGGGCUUAGUUCAGGGGGCCGUUCUGGGCAUUAGCUUGCCUGGGGCGGCGCAUCCUGAUCCUUUACUUUGAGAAAAUUAAAGUGCUCAAAGCAGGUUCCGCCUGGAUGCAUUAGCAUGGAAUAAUAAAACACGACUUUGGCGCCUUCGGGCCUUUGUUGGUUUUGAGCCGAAGUAAUGAUUGAUAGGAACAAUUGGGGGUGCUAGUAUCGCCGGGCCAGAGGUAAAAUUCUUUAAUUCCGGUGAGACUGCCUUAUGCGAAAGCAUUCACCAAGUGUGUUUUCUUUAAUCAAGAACUAAAGUUGAGGGAUCGAAGACGAUCAGAUACCGUCGUAGUCUCAACCAUAAACUAUGUCGACUAAGCAUUGGGCAAGUGGAUACUUCCUCAGCACUUCACGAGAAAUCAAAGUUUUCGGACUCAGGGGGAAGUAUGCUCGCAAGAGUGAAACUUAAAGGAAUUGACGGAAGGGCACCACCAGGUGUGGAGCCUGCGGCUUAAUUUGACUCAACACGGGGAAACUUACCAGGGCCAGACAUAGCCAGGAUUGACAGAUUGAAGUUCUUUCUUGAUUCUAUGCAUGGUGGUGCAUGGCCGUUCUUAGUUGGUGGAGUGAUUUGUCUGGUUAAUUCCGAUAACGAACGAGACCUCAGCCAUCUAAAUAGCCGUCGCUAGUCUAGCGCUCGCAAGAGUUCGGCUUCUUAGAGGGACCGCCCGCGGGAGCGGGAGGAAGUUUGAGGCGAUAACAGGUCAGUGAUGCCCUUAGAUGCUCUGGGCUGCACGCGCGCUACAAUGACGCACUCAGCGAGGGCCCGGCUUGGCAAGGCCGGGGAACCUGCAACGUGCGUCUUGGUUGGGAUAGAUGAUUGCAAUUAUUCAUC
rnacentral:rRNA from 1 species